GAUGAAGAACGUAGCGAAAUGCGAUAAGUAAUGUGAAUUGCAGAAUUCAGUGAAUCAUCGAAUCUUUGAACGCACAUUGCGCCCUCUGGUAUUCCGGGGGGCAUGCCCGUUCGAGCGUCAUUACACCUCUCAAGCCUAGCUUGGUAUUGGAGGCUUGCAGACUUCUUGAAAGGCUGCUCCUCUCGAAGUGACCGGCCGAGUCAGUCGUUUCUCCGGCGUUGUGCAUUACCAAAUGUCGCCUGUAAGAAACCGAAGGAUUUUGCGCCGUAAAACACCCAAUUUCAAAGGUUGACCUCGAAUCGGGUAGGGAUACCCGCUGAACUUAAGCAUAUCAAUAAGCGGAGGA
rnacentral:misc_RNA from 1 species